rnacentral:lncRNA from 1 species
UUUUAAGGUCUCAUCAAUUUUAUUUAUUUAAUCACAUUCAAAUAAAUUGUGUCCUAUUAUAACUACUAGUCCAAAGUUAAUGAAAUUAGUAGCAUAUGAUAUCCCCACUAUUCGUUUUCAUAAAACAAAUCAAUAUCAAAACAUUUUUCAAAAUAUUGGAGAUAUAUAUAACUACUAAUUGAGUUCAUUAUGGUUUAGUAGCAUAUGAUACUCCCACUAUUUGUUUUGAGAAAAACAAAUCAAUAUCAAAAACGAAUUUUUCAAAUAUUGGAAGUAACUACUACUACUAUGGUUUUUGCAUUCCUUUGAAAUUGGACUUUAUAGUUAUCUUAGGCUCUUUGGAUGACCAUGGACUUAUUGGGUUAAUUCAACAACGAGCCAACAUUGUUGAAUAAGAACUCGGGGAGGUUGUGUUAAUUUAAUUACGUGCUUUUCAAUCCAAUUAAAACAUUUUCAUUGAGCCAUUAGAAAUGAAAGA